CAUACAUCUUGGGGGGGGGGCGGGGAAGGCAUUUACAACUACUUACAGGUAAUGUUUAUCUAGGUAGUUUUUACUGGAUCUAGAGUAAUUUCUCACUGGAGUCAAGGAUGGCUCAGGAGAAAAUUAAUUCCUCCUCAUCUCUUUUGGAAAUCUUCAUCUUCUACACAUGUAUUUGUUGUCUUACAGGCUGCCAGUAACUUACAUGUCUUCUAAAAGUGGAUUUUGGAGAACUUAGAGCAUUUGAAAAUAGGUAAUAGAUAAUAGAAAAUCGAUAGAGAAACUGAGAACUUAGAAGUUCAGGCAACAGUGAUCCAAGAGAAGGUACCCAGGUUAUUCAGACCUCUAUUCCCAGCUCUUUCAUAUUCACAAGAAUUCUGGUAUGCCUGCUUGAUGCUUUGCUAACAGUUCAGUCUCCUAUUUGGAGAUGUCUGGGAUGCCAGCUGAAGACAAUGUCUGUCUGUCCUUAAAAUAAUUGAUUGCCUUGUCUGUCUGGUUUCGUGACCUGAGCAUGAAUCACCUUAAAACUGUCCUGAAGCUGACUUUUGGAAACCCCGUUUCCACAGGAUGUAGUCAGAGAUCAUAGCUGACGCUUGAACAGUGGACCUUGUCAGCAAUGGCAAUCAUACUACAUUUUAUGCUCACGUGGCAAUUUUUGCACACCAGUUGUCAAUAACUCUUUUCAAAGAGCUUAUUAUAAAAAAAAAUGGUUGCUUUGAUUUACUUUGGAGUUGUAGGAGAGGUCAUACAGAAACGUAAGCAAAAAUUCUUCUUAUUUUCUUAUUCUGAAAAAGAAAACAAAACUUUUUAAUAUCCUCAGUCAAAGGAGACUGAACAUUACAUAUGCUACCACAGAUUCUAAAUGGUGAUACUUGUUUCUGUCUUUCUAGAGUCAAGUUUUUGGCUUAGAGGCUAUUUGUAUCAUACUGCUAUCCAUCUGAGCUAUGAGAAGUAUACCUGAGAUGCACAAUUGCACCAGCCUACAGUACUGUCCUAGGACUCUCAUUGCUCUGAGAAAUGGACUGAUCCUAAAAGGACAUUCUUGAGAAGUGUCAGUCAAGCCUCUUGCAGAGCCCUGGGGAAUUCUGACUGGUGCUGAGAAAUGUCCAGAGGAAGUUGAAGGUCAAGAAAUGGUCCCUAUUGCAUAUCUCUUUUCCAUCAAGGUUACCAGAGUCAAAGUUUUAGCUGCACUGUGAGCAGGUUGCUGCCAGCAGCAGCCUUUCAUUCAAAUUAAUGAAAAAUUCUCAGUUCAGGAAAUGUUUUUCUCUGCAAAGUUUUCCAAAGCCUUCCCUAUAAACAUGGAAUGAUAGGUACAUGAAUUAUUUCCCAAUAAUACAAGUAUUACCCAUUCACAUUGUAAAAUUGUAAAAGAAAUUUUGCAGAAUCCCACUGAAUCAUGUUAGAAGGAAAAGUCCUAAUAUAAAAAUUAAAAACAGGAAAGUCUAUUUCUCUCCUAGCCCAUUAGAAGGUAUAUGGGAAGAGCAUGAUUCUCCAGCAGCUCACUGUGUAAUGUAUUAACCAGUGGAAAAAGAGAGAGCCUUGUAACAGACUGUCAGCUCUCAGGAAUCAUCUGGGGUCCAUCAUCUAGCUACCUUCUCAUUCCGGGCAGUCAGCCCUCAUCUGAUCAGGAUGCUGCUGCAGAGAGCAAGGAGGGAAGAUGCAUCUACCCUUCUCCGAAUAUAUUUCUUUCCAUUUCCAACUUCCAGGAAACCCACAGGACCUGAUGAAGCUCCAUAAGGAGAAAUGAACAAUUACAUUCCAUGAAACUAUGCAAUCUGUAAAAUUUUUGAUCCAGACACAGUACCAACAUCUUUGGGGGAGUUAAUUCUUUAGACUAUGCAUCUGCCACUUGCUGCUCGCUCCAGAGAAGCAAGCUGCCAGUACAAGUAUCAAACUCUUUGUGAGGGCUGCUAAAGUGGCAAAGAGGAGUUGUGGAAGGAGGCAAAAUGCAGAUAGUUUGGUUAGCUCUGCAAAUCAUCCAGCUGUCCCUCUUCCAUUUCCAGUGGAUCACUUGUCAGAUUAGCAUAUGAAACUGAUAAACCAGAAGAUUCUUAGAAAAAAAAUCUUGGAAAAAAGAUGAGGGACAGCGGACUCUGAUAAUCAUGUAUCUGGACAGGGACUAGAAUCUGGACCUUGCAGGAGAAGCCUGAAGCUGUAUGAGUAAACAUGCACUCAAGUCCAGCUGGAAAAUGCUAAAAUACUAUAAAAAUGAUUCCCACUGAAGAAGGUUGUUGAACUCUUUUCUGAAUGGCCUUGGGCUCUCUUACGCCUUCCUUCCUACUAGCCUACCACUUGCUGCCAACCCACUGGUAGUGAAAAUGAUUUAAGAAAAAAAAGACUGUGCAAGCGGGCCACAGCAAUCCAGGUCAUUGUUUACAUCAGGCCUUCCAGGCCUUCGUUCCCAGAACAGAAUUCCGUCAGAAUUUCUUUCCAUCAGAAAAGCACAUAAUUUUCUCAGCAACAGAUUUUGGUACAGGGCAGCCUCUGCCACACACAAAAUUGGGAAGGUGGAAAAAGGAAUUACAAUCAGAAAAAAUAUAGUUUGUUGUAAGAAGUUGGUCAACGGCAUUGUAGAGGCAAAUUAUAAAUCGAUGAGUACUUACAUCUGUAUUUAGUCUCUUGACUAAGUGACUGGAUUUUUAAGCAUGCUGAAUGUCUAGAGCUUCCAUUACACUUUCUAUACCAGUAAGAUCAUGCAUCUCGGAUCAAGGGUGUACUAGGUACUACAUUUCUAUUUGCAGUGUAUUUAUUACUGUUAACUAUCCUUAGUUGUUUUUUAAAAAGUCCUGUUAAAUGUAUUUGGUAAAAAGAACAAGAGGUACACAGGGAUUGCAAUCUCAAUUCUGCCAAAGGCAUCGGAAAUGGCAAAGCAGCCCCAAAACAAAACAUUGCUAAGCAAUAGAGUAACAAAUUCUUUCUCUUUUUAUCGCCUUACUUAAGCUGCCAUGGAACAUAUGGAACCACAAUUCAAUUAUGACUUAAAAAAAAAGAAAGAAAGAAAGAAAGAGCAAGAGAGAGACGUUUUUAUUUGUGAAUGCUGAUUUCAUAUAGGCUCUGUAUGGAACAGAAAAAGUCAUCUCUCCCAUACACGUAUACCUCCUGGUUCCUGAAAACUGUUUGACAAAAACAGUUUGAAAGGGAGCAUCUUUUCUUUACAUAGGUUUUCUAGUUUGCAUGCUGAUUAAGAAAAAAAAUAAAGCUCUGCAGCCAUACUGACAUUCUUGAGUCCUGGCAGGUCACUGCUUUUGGAGCCAAGUGCAAAUUGUAUUUCCUCUCUUAAGUUUUCUGAAGAGUAAAGACGCUGUGGAAAAUAGCAACUUUUCAAAAAGUUGAAUUUAGAACAAGUUUCUGUAAAUGUAGUGAUGGAAUAGUUGGAAAUCUUUUAGUCAUUGUUCUUUUUUUUUUUUUUUUCCUCCCUGUAAUAGCUAUACUCCAUUGGAGGUGGAACCAGUCAGGACUUUUUUUUCAGUUUUGUGGAAAUUAAAAUCCAGGCCAUAGACUA